UUAUCAUGAUGAGACACUUUUUCAUCCAGUUCUGCUACUGAAUCGAAGUGAUGACUCCCAAAUUACCAUACCAAGAUCUCUGAUAU
rnacentral:snoRNA from 1 species